rnacentral:rRNA from 1 species
GAUCUGGCUCAGAACGAACGCUGGCGGCAUGGAUUAGGCAUGCAAGUUGAACGAAGCAGCAAUGCUUAGUGGCGCAAGGGUGAGGAACACGUGAGUGACCUACCCGCAAGUUUGGAACAGCUCCUGGAAACGGGAAUUAAUACCGGAUGUGAUCGAUGAACUGCAUGGUUUAUUGAUUAAAGCAGCAAUGCGCUUGCGGAUGGGCUCGCGUCCCAUUAGCUAGUUGGUGAGGUAACGGCCCACCAAGGCCAUGAUGGGUAGCUGGUCUGAGAGGACGACCAGCCACACGUGGGACUGAAGAACUCGCCCAGACCUCCGUACGGGAGGCUGCAGUCGAAGUAAGUUUUGGGCAAUGGACGAAAGUCUGACCCCAAGCAAUGCCGCGUGCGGGAUGAAGGUCUUCGGAUUGUAAACCGCUGUUUGGAGGGACGAAAAUUGACGGUACUUCCAGAGGAAGCCACGGCUAACUACGUGCCAGCAGCUGC